UUACGGCCAUACCACGUUGAAACAUGUCCGAUCACCGAAGUUAAGCAACGUCGAGCCUGAUCACUACCCAGAUGGGUGAUCGCCUGGGAAUAUCAGGUGCUGUAA